UGGGUCCCUUAAUUCAAACAUAAGAAACAAAGAAGCAUAUUGCUUCUUGACGGACACUUGACAUCACCGUUACCAAACUAAGAUAAGUGAUGGAAAUAACUAACAGACUCGAUUAAAGUUCAAAUUAAACAGCAGCAGCGAAAAAAGAACGAUACGCUCCGACGACCCAACUUUGACAAACCCACACGGUUAAUAACUUACCCCCGGUCCUCUCAGACGCUCAAGCACCGCAUGAACUCCCACUCCUCAUCGUCGUCCCCGCUGCCGUCGCCGUCACCACCGCUGCACGAGUCGCCAGUCUCACUGCCGCUGCACAUGGCAUCGGUAUCAGAUCCUCCGGCUCCGACGAGGUACGGCAUCGAAUGGAAGGCUCGAGCAAGUCCACAAGCAACCUCCUCCCCCUGCCCACCGGUGUACUCCUCAGCCCGCCGCUUCAGCAGAUCAAACAUAAUCUCAGGCUCAUGCUGCAUCGCCCGGAGGACAUCGGCACAAGACUGCCCUGGCACCGCCCGAGUCACCGCGAAACAGUGCGGCCCGUCGCUCUGCGACACCCGCACCACGCUCGGCCCACCGAACAGGUUGUGCAGUCCCCCCAGCGCCUCCUGAUAAGCCCCGCCGAGGAACAUCCCCAGAUAAUACCCGCCACCAGCAGCAGCGGUAGCACUGCCAAUUUCAUGCAGCGGCAGGCUGUUUCUCCCGCCAAUAAACUUGUCCAUCUUCCCAUCGCUGUCGCAGGUGAGAUCCGACAGCACCCCGUUCACGCCAGGCCUCUGAUCGAGGCGGUGGAUCGGCACAACCGGAAACAGCUGCCUGAUCGCCCAGAAAUCAGGAAUUGAAGUGAAGAGCGACAGAUUCACAUGGUAAGUCCGCACCGGAUCGGGCAUUCCAGUCUCCCUCCCCACCAGAUCGCAAAGUGUAUCAACAGCCGCCAGGUGCUCGAGCCCAAGCACACCAUCCUUGAAAUUUUCCCCGCACCGGCGUUUGAGCUGAUCAGCAUACAUCCGGCAAGCCUCAUCCUCGCCACGCAUAGCAGCCGCCAUCAAACUCCGGUAAUCAGCCCUGGCAUCUUCAGCCAGCUCAUCCAGUAUGUAGGCAAGAUCAGGUUCAAUGGCAGCCGGUUCAGCGGUUGUGGCUGAGACAGCUUCGAAGAUAAGAAUUGAAUGGUGAGAGACGAGCGCACGGCCGCUCUCACUGCAGAUGAUGGGGUGACCGACGUGCUUGCGGUCGCAGGCGUAUUGGACAGCACGGACGACAGCAGCAGCAUACUCUUCCAGACCAUAAGCCACAGACAUAUCGGAGAAGGCGGAGUGGGAGCCGUCGUAGUCGAUGCCAAGCCCGCCGCCAACGUCAAUUAUGCGCAUGCCGGCACCGAGCCUCGCCAGCUCGCAGUAGAUCUGGGCUGCCUCGCCGACUCCAUCGGCGAGCAGUGUAGUUGAUGGGAUCUGAGAGCCAAUGUGGAAAUGCAGCAGCUGGAGGCAGUCAAGCAUGUCGAGCGCUUUCAGCUUCUUGGCCACGGACAGGAUUUGCGUGGUUGUCAGUCCAAAUUUGCCUUUCUCGCCGGAGGUGGAGCCGAAAUGUCCAGAGUGCUUGGUGCGGAGCUUGGCGCGAAGUCCGAUCACCGGACGGACGCCGAGACGGCGCGCGGUGUUCACCACCACGUCGAGCUCCUCCUCCUGCUCUAGAACGAUAAUUGUGUCGAGGCCGAGGGUUCUCGCGGUGAGGGCGAGGGCGAUGUAUUCGUCGUCCUUGUAGCCGUUGCAGACGAGGAAAGCUUGGGGGCUACCUCCAUGAGAGAGGCAGCUCAUGGCGAGAAGGAGCUCCGGCUUGGAACCGGCCUCGAGGCCGAAGCGGAAGGCGGCGCCGAAAUUGACGAUGUCCUCAACGAUGAAGCGGUCCUGGUUGCAUUUCACGGGGUAGACCCCCUGGUAGUGGGAGGCGUAGCCGGUGGACUGUAUGGCGAAGUCGAAGGCGGACUGGAGGGACUCAAGGCGGUGGCGGAGGACGUCGGGAAGGCGGACGAUGAGGGGGAGCGGGAGCCCCAGUCCGCCGGCAUGCUUUGGAUCGGAUGCCUUCUUGACGAUUUUGAGAAGAUCGAUGUCCUGGUGGGGGAGGGUGGCGGGGCCGUGGGGGCGGACGGAGAUGUUACCGGAAGCGUUGACGGAGAAGUAAGGCGCCCCCCAUGCGUCGACCUUGUAGAGGUUGGAGGAGAGGUCGGUUGACCACAGAUCGGGGAGAUCCGUUAUAGCCGGAGCCGACGGAGCGCCGCCGGGGAAUGUCCCCGGCGCGGGAAGAGAGGCGGAGCCAUCCCAGGCGAAGGCGUAGCCAGGAGGGGGGAGCGCGGCGUCUAUGCAGGCGAGGGCCGGCAUCUCUUCCCGAUCAGGAAAUAAUCAAAAAAUUGGAAAUAAAAAAAUCUACUUGUUAUGAGAUCUUUUGAGAAGGGGGCUUUGAAAGCCGCCGAGGCCGGAGCCCCGGCUACCCCCCAAAAGAAGCAGGAGGUGGGGAAGAAGCGGGGGUGGAGCCGAGCGCGCUUCUACAGGUCACGGAAAUCCCCACGCCGGAACGUCAGAAGGCGGCGGUGCGGACGGCGACGGAUCGGGCGGCGGGAAGGGAGGACGGCGACGGGACGACGGAUCUGGAGGCGCAACCGUGCAGAUCUGAUCCGUAUCAGAGUUCUGAGAAAUCGAACAGAUAAUGAAAAUAGGAGAGCGAAAUAGAUCAGGAACACACCAGGAGAUCAGUACAACAAUUGCCGACGAUGGAGACGAAGACGGCGGUCGGCGGCGGGGAUUGAACGGCGGAAGAUUGGAGGGGUGGAUGAGGAGGCCGGAAACCUAACGGCGGGAUGUGGAAACCUAACAGCAGGAGCGGUGGAGGCUGAGGAACGGUAGAGAUUGAUGGCUU
rnacentral:misc_RNA from 1 species